rnacentral:rRNA from 1 species
AUGACUGACCUACGUGGGAACCUUGACAUACAUGCCAUUGCGGACGUCCUAAAAGUUUGGCCUCUUAUCACUGGGCAGAGCUUGACGGAGCAGCCAGACUCUUUCAGGUGGAGGCAAACAUCAGAUGGAUCAUAUUCAGCAAGUAGCGCUUAUCAUCUCUUCUUCCUUGGUCGGGAGUUUCUCCCUGGCACUGCGGAGUUUUGGACUUCAUGGGCACCUUUGGAAAUAAAGAUUUUUGUCUGGCUGGCCCUCCACGAUCGGCUAUGGACCGCGGAUCGCCUUGCAAGACGGCAACUCGAGCACCCGGAUUGCUGCGUGCUUUGCUCUCAAGAGGAGGAGAACCUGAAUCACAUUUUGCUUGGUUGCUCCUUUGCCAGGGAAGUGUGGUACAAUAUCUUACUCCUAUGGCGUUUGCAUAGACGAACUCCAACCUCAACUGACACUAUCAAGGAAUGGUGGCCGGCGCUAAGCAAUGCGGUUCCUAGUAGAAGUCGUCGCAAGGUUAACACCAUGGUUUGUCUUGUGCUCCGAUCCAUCUGGCUUGAGCAUAACAGGAGGGUUUUUGACAAGAUCGCGCUCAUGCCGCAUGUGGUAGCUAGCAAUAUCCAAAGUGAGUUCCGAUUGUGGAUUAAAGCAAAAAUAGGUGGGCUGGCGCGAGACAUUACGUAG